rnacentral:lncRNA from 1 species
CUUUGCGCACCCUUUUCCUGGCAGGGCUGCGUCCCUGUUCUUCCCAGGAGGCUCCUCGCUGCCUGGUGCCGUAGAGGCCCAUGGAGGAAAAGGAAGAUAAGCAUCAACAGCAUAAAAUAGAGGAUGCUGCUAUAACAUAUGGUGACUGGUGGUCACAUGGUAAAGCACUGGAACCUGUCUUCCUACCACCUUACGACUCUAAGAGCACCCAGAGGAGUGACUUCCAAAAACCAUCGUGUCCACUGGUUUUGCCAGUCAAACACAGCAAGAUGCAAAAGCCUUCUUAGACACGGAGCUUUUGUACAGAGAGAGAUAAAACCAGGCAGUAGGCCAACAGUUCCUAAAGGAGCAGAGGUAUUACUGAACACUCCAGGGUCACGUUCAUCAGAACAGUCCAAAAAAACAGAGAAAGGAAACUCAGCGGAAAGCAGAAUGAUCUCACCAGGUCUCUGCCAACAAAAUUCUCAGGAGCUGUUAGAGCCUAAAACUCACUUAUCAGAAACAGACGUCAGACAGGCAGCCAAGGCAUGCCCCAGCACUCCUGAGAGCAGAGAAAAGACCUCAGGCGCCACUCAAACAACUGUAGGAGAUGCUCUUUUCACUAGGCACAAGCCUUUAAAUCCACCAAUU